rnacentral:rRNA from 1 species
AAUCAACGCUGGCGGCAUGCCUAACACAUGCAAGUCGAACGCGAAAGGGUCCUCGGAGUCUGAGUAGAGUGGCGUCCGGGUGAGUAACGCGUAGGUAAUCUACCUUUGGGUGGGGAAUAACUCAGGGAAACUUGAGCUAAUACCGCAUAACAUUGAAAGAUCAAAGCGGGGGAUCGCAAGACCUCGCGCCUGAAGAGGAGCCUGCGUCUGAUUAGCUAGUUGGUGAGGAAUGGCUCACCAAGGCUUCGAUCAGUAGCUGGUCUGAGAGGACGGCCAGCCACAUUGGCACUGAAACACGGGCCAAACUCCUACGGGAGCAGCAGUGGGGAACUUUGGCAAUGGGCGCAAGCCUGACCCAGCAAUG